rnacentral:rRNA from 1 species
UACAGAGGUCUCAAGCGUUGUUCGGAUUCAUUGGGCGUAAAGGGUGCGUAGGCGGCGCGGUAAGUCGGGUGUGAAAUCUUGGAGCUUAACUCCGAAACUGCAUUCGAUACUGCCGUGCUUGAGGACUGGAGAGGAGACUGGAAUUUACGGUGUAAGCUGGUGAAAUGCGUAGAUAUCGUAAGGAAGACCAGUGGCGAAGGCGGGUCUCUGGACAGUUCCUGACGCUGAGGCACGAAGGCCAGGGGAGCAAACGGG